GUGGUAUUUUUUAUGGAGGAGCUAGAGCUCAUCAGCCAUCACCAGAUUUUGCACUAGUCGAUAAUUUUGUAUAUGUGUGAUGGCUCAUAAACAAUUCAGAUAUGCCAAAUUGACUUGCACUAAAGAAAAUUAGUACAAAGUUUAGUAUAAAAAUUAAGUUGAACUAGCCAUUGGAUGGGCAUGUGCGAUCCAAAAACAAAAAUUGCAGAUCUAUAAGGGAUGCUCAGAUCGAAGUAGCCAUUGCUCCUCAAGCAACUGGACCGUUCGGGUUCACUGCCUGCUAAUCAGAGAGGAAAUUUGAGACAAAGAGGACAAGGAACAUAUGCAUCUGAGAUCAACAAACUAGCACUACUAUUUCCCAUUUUCCCAUCAACAAACUCAGCGUAACUAUUCCCCAUUUUCCCACCAAUGGGAUAGUUGCCGUCAGCCAAGAGGAACAUAGAGAUCUCGAUGAAAGAACAAAUGGGACUUACCCAUUCUCGCGCUGCUGCAAGUCGAGCUCGCUACACUCCUUGCAGCACUCCCGGUCAUGGGGCCGAGCUCACUGGCCGUUCUCCAGCUCCCAACACAUACUACCACAGCACUGCAGGGGUGGUGGCUUAGAGCUUAGUGGAGGACAACCGGGCUGUUGACCUCCUAGUUCACACAAGUACUAUAAAAGAUUAAGAGAACCUCAUUUAGAUGAUUUAUCUUGGCCAGUUGGUCAACAACCUUACCUAUACAUCCUGGUGGUCGUGUGUUCGAAACUUGCCAAGCCUUAUCUACUGCUAUUUUUUUCUUUAUUUUAAUUGCCUUGUAAAUUGUAAUCAUUUUUUGUGAUAACCAUCUCAUCACUAAUAAUAAUUUUAGCGAUGAUAAAAUAUGGCAUCACUAAUUAAAAAUUAAAAAAUGAUAAUAUGCCAAUUCAUCACGAUCAACCCGUCACUGUUUUUAGGUUUUUUGAUGACUUAACAUUUUAUCACGGAUUGAGCACAGUAGUAGUGAGAGAAGAUUAAAUCAUCACAGUUCACUCGUCACUGUUGGUAUAAUUAGUGGUUAGCUACCAGGUUAUCACAUUUUUUUAAUAAAAUAGUGGCAACACUAUGACUUAUCACAAUUGAGAUGUCACUGACGAUGUGUUUUGUGAUGACAAAAUAUUUUCUCACUAGUUAUAGGUGAAAUAGUGAUGGAAAAUAGUUUCCCACUAGUUGUACAUGAAAAUAGUGACAACAAGAUAGUUUGUCACUGUAAAACCACUUAUUAGUGAGGAAGUAAGGUUUCAUCACUAGCGUUCGUCACUAGUGGGCCAAUUCCUUGUGGUGUUGGCAGAGUAUGGAAAGCUUUAGGCGAAGCCUUUCCCUACCUCUAGCUGGUAUCAACGAAGCCAACGAUUGUGGGAACCGGUUUUCCUUCUUGGAGAAUGGAGACGUUAUCGUGGUGUUUCUAUCUUCCUUCAAAUGAGAACCUAGUUCUGGUUUUUCCAAACAAGCGAUGAUAGCGCCAUUGCCAUUAUUUUCCUUGGAGAUGUUGCUUAGAAGGUCAUACUCCUCGUUUGGUACUUGCCGUCUUUGUGAGGUCGGUCAUCAAGGCUGAGGCCCUUCAUAAGAAUUUAGGACUUGUCUCAGGUUUCAGUUUAUCCUAAGUUGUAGUGACAUCGACCCAGUUAUCAGGUUGGGUGCUCUAUAUGGGUUUUAACCAACUGGGUUGUGGUAAGGUUUUUGGUCCUAAUUUUUUUUCGCGAUAAAUAGGCCCAACUCUCUUCUUUCUAAUGAAAAGCACCCUUUUCACUUUGAGAUUUGCCUUUAUAAAAAAUUAGCCACGACACACUGAAUAUUUGUGAGUAACUAUUUGUAAAAUGCGCACUGCAGUGGAUUAAUAAUUUUCAUAGGCCAUCCAAACCAGGACUUUUGCGUGAUUCAAAUCGACCUGUAAGUCGCUAUCCUUUGGACUCAAUUGCGUCUUAUCCUCGAUCUAUCCUCGGCAUGAUUUGGCUGUUGUGACAAAAAUGAUUUGGCACGGGAUGGGAUCAAUGAAGGUCCUUUAAGAGUAAGGAUAAUAAUAGAGCUCACUUCCUACUAUUAGCCAAUUUUAAAGCCAACACAUAUAAUAAAUUAGCUAUAAGGUUGGCUACAAUUUUCUUCUCAUCUAUCUCUCACUUAUACAUUAAUUGUAUUUGUCUUAGAGCUUGUGUUAAGCUAGCUCUUGUAUAAGAGCCAACACCCUUAACUUUUUGUUACAUCUCUCCUCCACAUAAGCUUAUAAUAGGCUUAUAGCUAACUAUUAUACUUGCUCUAAGAGCAAGUUUAAUAGUAUAGCCAACUAUUAGCUCCAAUUCAUCUAUAACCAAUCUAAUAGCUCAUUUAUACAAUAGCUACAUACUACACUAUUAAUAUCUAGUCCCACCUGUCAUAUACACACUGUGUCUUAGAAUCCGUGCUACAGCUGGCUACCAAUCUAUAGCCCUCAUUUAUCUGCUUAAAAUAUGUUUGUAGCUGGCUUAUAGCACCUGCUCUAAUUUGCAUGAUUUGGCUGCUGUCGACAAAAUGAUUUGUCACGGGACGCUGGGAUCAACGACAUGCAGACGAUGUAACCUUGCGAUUUUGUAUCUUGAACAUCAGAGACCGACCUGGCGUUCUUUUUUUUUUUUUUUGCGGGGACCGACCUGGCGUUCUUGUGAGCAAUAGAGCCAAAUCACUUUAAUCUUGUCUUACUGUGUAUUCAAAACAACUAAACACUUGUUAAAAUACACCGUUAUUGAUGUUCAAGAUACAAAAUCCAACGCAUUCAGCUAAGCUUGACACAUCUAAACACAGCAUCAGCCAUCAGGACAAUGCACAGCACUAGUGAAGUGUAACCAUACCGCUACACGUUUAACUACACAUCUCGCGGUUACUCCCUGGCGACGACGACCACCUGCUUGCCGACGUUGCGGCCGGAGAAGAGCCCGAUGAGCGCGGCCGGCGCGUUCUCCAGCCCUUCGGCGACGUCCUCCACGUACGCGAUCUUCCCCUCCUUCACAUACCGCGCGGCCUUCUCCUCGUACUCCCUGUACCUGGCGUAGUGGUCGGACACGAUGAACCCUUCGAUCCGGAGCCGCUUCGUGACGAUGGCCGUCAGGUUGUGGACGGGGUCGGGGUGCUCCAGGUUGUACUGCGAGAUCAUCCCGCAGGCCGCGACGCGGCCGCGCACCCGCAUGUUGAGCAGCACGGCGUCCAGCAUCGCGCCGCCCACGUUUUCGAAGUAGAUGUCGAUCCCUUCCGGGAAGCACCGCUUCAGGGCCGCGCUCAGGUCACUCUCCUUCUUGUAGUUGAAGGCGUCGUCGAAGCCGAACUUCUCCCUGAGCAGCCUCACCUUGUCGUCGGAGCCGGCGCUCCCGACGACGUAGCAGCCCAUGAGCUUGGCGAACUGUCCCACCAGCUGCCCCACGGCGCCCGACGCGGCGGAGACGUACACCCUCUCGCCUUCCCUUGGCGCGCAUAUCUCGUGGAACCCGACGUACGCCGUGAAGCCCGCCAUGCCUGAAACAGAUUAUGAAAUUAAUUAAUCGUCGGCCAUGGAUGCUGAUCUGCUAAUCAAUCGCGGCAUGCAUGGUUCAAUUCGUACCGAGGAGGCCGGUGUAGUAGGAGAGCGGCAGGUCGGGAUGGCGGAUGGCGAAGAGGGCCCUGCUG
rnacentral:sRNA from 1 species